rnacentral:tRNA from 3 species
GGAGGGGUGUCCGAGCGGUUUAAGGAGGCGGUCUUGAAAACCGUUGAAUCUUCACGGGUUCCGUGGGUUCGAAUCCCACCCCCUCCGCCA